UAUUAUUACCGGGCUGCACAUCCAUCGAGGCGGUCAAACUUCCGGAGGACCGUGUGUUUCUUCCUCCAGGUCGGAGAGAAACAGGCCCGAGGAGACAAAGACUGUCUUCUGUUGGACAUCUGUCCUUCUGUUUUUCGUCUCUGAUAAGUGCUCCUCCUGUUCUGUGUCAGUCGGGCUUGACCGUCUGCUGCCCAGCUUUGGAUGCAGGACAUACCUGUAGCUUCUGGAUGCUUU